UGAUCCAGGGACACAUUUUACUGGGGCUUUGGUACAACAAUGGGCUCAGGACUUGCAGAUUGAUGGGAAAUUCCAUGUGGCCUAUCAUCCCCAAGCUGCUGGAAUGAUUGAAUGGUACAAUAGUCUCUUAAAGCAGGGCCUGCAAUCUGCAGCUGCCACCCCUACACUGAGGGGUUGGAUGAAAUGCUUAUGGACUGUCCUCCUGACUCUAAAUGAGAGUAGUUGGAGGGGAGGCCCAGCUCCAG